CCUUUAGAGACUUCGAUAAAAUUCGAAUGAUACGGAGAUGAUUAACAUGAUCCUUGCGUAAUAAAGACGCCCAUAAAUCAAGAAAUGGUUCAAAUUUUU